rnacentral:misc_RNA from 1 species
AGUAGUAGGUUGAGCC